AACGAACGCUGGCGGCAGGCCUAACACAUGCAAGUCGAACGCAUCGCAAGAUGAGUGGCGCACGGGUGAGUAACACGUGGGAAUGUAUCCUUUGGUUCGGAAUAACGUCUGGAAACGGACGCUAAUACCGGAUGAGCCCGUAGGGGGAAAGAUUUAUCGCCGAAGGAGCAGCCCGCGUCUGAUUAGGUAGUUGGUGGGGUAAAGGCCUACCAAGCCGACGAUCGGUAGCUGGUCUGAGAGGAUGAUCAGCCACACUGGGACUGAGACACGGCCCAGACUCCUACGGGAGGCAGCAGUGGGGAAUAUUGGACAAUGGGCGCAAGCCUGAUCCAGCCAUGCCGCGUGAGUGAUGAAGGCCUUCGGGUUGUAAAGCUCUUUCGCACACGACGAUGAUGACGGUAGUGUGAGGAGAAGCCCCGGCUAACUUCGUGCCAGCAGCCGCCGUAACAC
rnacentral:rRNA from 1 species